ACGAGAGGUGCAAGCGUUGUUCGGAUUUACUGGGUGUAAAGGGUGCGCAGGCGGCAUGUUAAGUCAAUUGUUAAAUCUUCCGGCCUAACUGGAAGUCUGCAAUAGAAACUGGCAAGCUCGAGUAUGGAAGAGAGGAGUGGAAUUCUCGGAGUAGCGGUAAAAUGCGUAGAUCUCGAGAGGAACAUCGAUGGCGAAAGCAGCUCUUUGGUCCAUUACUGACGCUCAUGCACGAAAGCGUGGGGAGCAAACAG
rnacentral:rRNA from 1 species